rnacentral:rRNA from 1 species
UGGCAGACGGGUGAGGAGCGCGUAUCUGACUGUACUCAGGCUGGGGGAUAGGCGCGCGAAAGGGGGUUGAAUACCGCAUGUGCUCGGUGCUGUGAGGGCAUCGAGGAAAGUUGGCCUCUGCGGGCACGCUGAUGGCCUGAGACAGGGAUGCGUCCUAUUAGCUAGCUGGUGUGGUAAGGGCCUACCAGUGGCGACGAUUGUGGUAGCGUGGUCUGAGACGGAUGAUCAGCCACAACGUGGGGACUGCGACACGUGACCAGACUCCUACGGGAGGCAGCAGUGGGGAAUUUUGCGCAAUGGGCGCAAGCCUGACGCAGCAACGCCGCGUGCAUGACGACGCCUUUCGAGGUGUAAAGUGCUGUCGAGCGGGACGAAGGGGCGAGGGUGAACAGCUUUCGCGCAUGACGGUACCGGUGGAGGAAGCCCCGGCUAACUCCGUGCCAAGCAGCCGCGGUAAGACGGAGGGGGCGAGCGUAGUUCGGAAUUACUGGGCAUAAAGCGCGCGUAGGCGGUGCAGCAAGUGGUGCGUGAUAGCCCUCGGCUUACCCGGGGACGGGCUUGCCAAACUGUUGGACUGGCAUGCCGGAGGGGGAAGCGCAAUUCCCUGGUGGAGCGGUGACCUGCCGUCGAGAUCCGGACCAACGUCGGAUACGAAGGCGGCCUCCUGGACGGACACCGACGCUGAGGUGCGACUGCGUGGGGAACGAACGGGAUUAGAUACCCCGGUAGUCCACGCAGUCAACGAUGGGUACUAGGUCUGGGGCUUCUGAUGAGGCCCGUGCCGGAGCUAACGCAGUAAGUACCCCGCCUGGGGAGUACGCUCGCAAGGCUGAAACUCAAAGGAAUUGACGGGGGCACGCACAAGCGAUGGAGCAUCUGGUUUAAUUCGACGCAACGCGCAGAACCUUACCCAGGUUUGACAUGCACCGGCACAGCGAGGAGAGUCGCUGGCCCGUUUCGGGACGGUGCACAGGUGCUGCAUGGCUGUCGUCAGCUCGUGUCGUGAGAUGUUGGGUUAAGUCCCGCAACGAGCGCAACCCCUGCCCGUAGUUGCCAACAGAUGAUGCUGGGGACUUUACGGGGACUAUCGGUGUGUAACCGGAGGAAGGUGGGGAUGACGUUAAGUCCUCAUGGCCCUUACGCCUGAGGCGACACACAGUGGUACACAUGGGGCGGACAACGGGGGGCGACCAUGCGAGGGGGAGCGUAUCCCUGAAACCGUGUCUCAGUUCGGAUUGGAGUCUGCAACUCGACUCCAUGAAGGUGGAAUCGCUAGUAAUCGCGGAUCAGCACUCCCGCGGUGAUACGUUCCCGGGCCUUGUACACACCGCCCGUCUACACCACGAAAGUUGAUGAUACCCGAAGUCG